AAUAGAUACCCGGGUAGUCCACGCCGUAAACGAUGAGUGCUAAGUAUUAGAGGGUUUCCGCCCUUUAGUGCUGCAGCUAACGCAUUAAGCACUCCGCCUGGGGAGUACGGUCGCAAGACUGAAACUCAAAGGAAUUGACGGGGGCCCGCACAAGCGGUGGAGCAUGUGGUUUAAUUCGAAGCAACGCGAAGAACCUUACCAGGUCUUGACAUCCUCUGACAACUCUAGAGAUAGAGCGUUCCCCUUCGGGGGACAGAGUGACAGGUGGUGCAUGGUUGUCGUCAGCUCGUGUCGUGAGAUGUUGGGUUAAGUCCCGCAACGAGCGCAACCCUUGAUCUUAGUUGCCAGCAUUUAGUUGGGCACUCUAAGGUGACUGCCGGUGACAAACCGGAGGAAGGUGGGGAUGACGUCAAAUCAUCAUGCCCCUUAUGACCUGGGCUACACACGUGCUACAAUGGAUGGUACAAAGGGGCUGCAAGACCGCGAGGUCAAGCCAAUCCCAUAAAACCAUUCUCAGUUCGGAUUGUAGG
rnacentral:rRNA from 1 species